UACGGAGGGUGCAAGCGUUAUCCGGAUUCACUGGGUUUAAAGGGUGCGUAGGUGGGCAGGUAAGUCCGUGGUGAAAUCUCUGAGCUUAACUCAGAAACUGCCGUGGAUACUAUUUGUCUUGAAUAUUGUGGAGGUGAGCGGAAUAUGUCAUGUAGCGGUGAAAUGCUUAGAUAUGACAUAGAACACCAAUUGCGAAGGCAGCUCACUACACAAUGAUUGACGCUGAGGCACGAAAGCGUGGGGAUCAAACAGG
rnacentral:rRNA from 1 species